rnacentral:rRNA from 1 species
UGCAGUCGAGGGGUAUAGUUCUUCGGAACUAGAGACCGGCGCACGGGUGCGUAACGCGUAUGCAAUCUACCUUUUACAGAGGGAUAGCCCAGAGAAAUUUGGAUUAAUACCUCAUAGUAUAUAGCCCUGGCAUCAGGAUUAUAUUAAAGUCACAACGGUAAAAGAUGAGCAUGCGUCCCAUUAGCUAGUUGGUAAGGUAACGGCUUACCAAGGCUACGAUGGGUAGGGGUCCUGAGAGGGAGAUCCCCCACACUGGUACUGAGACACGGACCAGACUCCUACGGGAGGCAGCAGUGAGGAAUAUUGGACAAUGGGCGCAAGCCUGAUCCAGCCAUGCCGCGUGCAGGAUGACGGUCCUAUGGAUUGUAAACUGCUUUUAUACGAGAAGAAACACUCCUUCGUGAAGGAGCUUGACGGUAUCGUAAGAAUAAGGAUCGGCUAACUCCGUGCCAGCAGCCGCGGUAAUACGGAGGAUCCAAGCGUUAUCCGGAAUCAUUGGGUUUAAAGGGUCCGUAGGCGGUUUAAUAAGUCAGUGGUGAAAGCCCAUCGCUCAACGGUGGAACGGCCAUUGAUACUGUUAGACUUGAAUUAUUAGGAAGUAACUAGAAUAUGUAGUGUAGCGGUGAAAUGCUUAGAGAUUACAUGGAAUACCAAUUGCGAAGGCAGGUUACUACUAAUUGAUUGACGCUGAUGGACGAAAGCGUGGGUAGCGAACAGGAUUAGAUACCCUGGUAGUCCACGC